rnacentral:lncRNA from 1 species
GAUGACUUGGGCCCAAGCCCAUCAUGGACCCAUCACUAGAAGCAUGACCCAUCAUAAGGAGAAGGGUAAAACUGUCCCAAAUGAAGAAUAAAGCUGCUGGAAGCACCCCUCACCUUUGCUAGGCACACCACGGCAGAAAUCAUUUUCCAGCACAUGUUAAAAACGCUUCUGGAAGCUGAUCACGGAAUCCAUGCAUUGCCACGUGGAAGCUGAUCCACAUUUCUUGGCUUUCAUCUAAACCACANGUAGAUCCUAGGCAAUGCUAUAAAAUCCAUUGUUAGCACAUGUAUCAGUUACUUUUGGAAUAUUAUGAGAAUUGCUUUGCUGAAGAAUUUCCAGCCUAUUCUCUGCACCGAAAGUCAUUCACCUUGCUUCCUUCCUCACCCCUCUAGCUUCCUUCCAUAGAUGGUAGGCCGUCUGAGCUAGAACCGCACCAUAGAAGCCUUCCUCCAUCUCACACAGUCACCAAAUAUCAGUUACUUCCGCUG